rnacentral:rRNA from 1 species
UAGGGAAUCUUCCGCAAUGGGCGAAAGCCUGACGGAGCAACGCCGCGUGAGUGAUGAAGGUCUUCGGAUCGUAAAACUCUGUUAUUAGGGAAGAACAAAUGUGUAAGUAACUAUGCACGUCUUGACGGUACCUAAUCAGAAAGCCACGGCUAACUACGUGCCAGCAGCCGCGGUAAUACGUAGGUGGCAAGCGUUAUCCGGAAUUAUUGGGCGUAAAGCGCGCGUAGGCGGUUUUUUAAGUCUGAUGUGAAAGCCCACGGCUCAACCGUGGAGGGUCAUGGGAAACUGGAAAACUUGAGUGCAGAAGAGGAAAGUGAAAUUCCAUGUGUAGCGGUGAAAUGCGCAGAGAUAUGGAGGAACACCAGUGGCGAAGGCGACUUUCUGGUCUAUAACUGACGCUGAUGUGCGAAAGCGUGGGGAUCAAACAGG